AAGACAGAGAAGAAAAAGAGGUUUAUUAGAGAGUGUAAAUAUUUCAAGAGGCUAAUGUUGCCUGUAACAAGCCAAAUACAUUUUUAAAGCUUAUGUCAAUCAGUUCACUUCCUUUAUCUGCAUAAAAAAAAAGCACUUACAAAGGUUUUAUACAAUGAUCUAAUGUAGCCAAAUGGCAUGACAAUGAACAAUGAGAAAAUGAAACAUGAUCAUAACCACCUCAACCAAAGGAGAAGUGAGAAACUGAGUGUAUGUGUGUAACUUGAGGUCUGUGUAUGACUUGAGUGGAAGUUAAAAGGAAUCUUUAAACCUCUGAUUUGGCCUUUGCUCCAGGCAGAUCCAAACUAGUAUACUGAUUACUUUGCUUGCUAAACUUGCUCUCGUUCAGUGUUACUGAAUCGGACACUGUAUAAGCCAACUGUGUGUUUGGAAUUUUAUUAGCAAAAACUUCACAUCGUCGAGGCUCUCGGCCUUAACGUGGCACACAACUAACGAUAAAGUAGAUUAUUAUUAACAGUGCUGUGAAGUGUCGAAGAACAUGGUGUCACUCUAGGAUGGGAGGGCACUCGGCGCUGGUUACUAAGUAGAUUGACGGCUUUGUAGUUGAGACAUAGUUGAGACAAUGCUAUGAUGAAAAGAGCAGAGGGAGAGAUAGGGCAAGCAUAAAGGGAAUCAGACUGUCGGUGCGGCUUUUGCUUUGCGGAUCUCUCAAACGUCACAGUGCCAUGGCAACUGCUCUUGUUAUAUCCAGGACAUCUCUAGUGUGAGGCCACAGUCACCUGAGGAGGCUUUGUGGUUGUGAGAGUGUGUGUGUGUGACAUGUUGGCUUCCACUGAGACCAUUAUGUAUUAUGCAUCUGCUGCUCUUUUUCCUUUACUGUACUUGAUGUCCCCAUAACCAGUCACUUGGAAGUGCCCUUUUGAAUUUUUUUUAUAUUUUACCAAUCAAAGCCAUCUGUGAUGUCCUCAUAAACCACAUUCAUUAGACUCUUGUCCUCUAGUGGGUAUUAUCAUAAACUACAUUAGAUCUACUAAUGUGCACUCAACGUCCUCAAAUUACAGCAGCAUGGACUUGGUUAUAGCGAUGAAAUUGGUCAGUUGUCACUGACGUAAAGCUUCUCUGCCACUAGGGAAGAUUUUUCAAACCACUUGAGAGUGGCUAUUCCCCAAGUAAACACCCCCAGCUUCUCUCUCAGCUCUAGAAAUAGAAUAAGGGGAAGUGGAAUCAUACCAUGAAAUUUACCAUUAUGUGUUACCUCGUGAUACUGUCAGCAGAGACAGGAUGGUUUACUCUUGCAUAAUAAAUCAUCCGCCUAAUCUAGUUCCACUUUCCUUGCUGCUGCUGCAAAAAAAAAAAAUACAGAGUGCAUUUUUGACACAUGGCACUUGUAGUUGAGCCUGCUUCAUGCUGUUAGAAACAGCUCUCCUUGAGCAUUAUUUAUAAAAUAUUUAACACAAAAUUAAUACAUAAACAUAUAUGUGUACACUACCUGUGUGAAUUCCUACAAACUUUCCCUCAGCAAUAACUGCAUGCUAUCCUGGCACUUCACCUUCAGUAUAAUUAGAUUCACCUAAGGACACAUUAUUUUAAUUAUGUGUCACCACUUGAAUGUCGGAGCACCCUGGAGGGGGGUUACGGUACAGUGGCAGCUCCCUGUCCUCUGAGGCCAAACACUAGCUGUGUGAAUCCCUGUGGGACACGCACACAGACGGGAAAUACGCUGCUUGACUGGGCAUGGCUGGCCGGUGAGCUGGCACAGUUGCCCUCCUCGGCCUGCCCAAGAGCCAUUUUCACAAUGCCAUAGACACUUCACAUACGGACGCAGUGCCUCUCAAUGUGGGACGCGUGAACAUCCACUUCAGGCGGGCUAUGAGCUCACACUGAAGUUCGGGAGUAGCCUCCUUAUAAAGGAAACUUUCAGCUAACUGCUAGUAAUGUGACUUUUCUGUGGUUUCUGUGGCUUUUUUAUGGCUUUGUUUGCUAAAAAAGUGUACCUUAUUGAUAAGUGUUAUGAGCAGAAUAUACAAAGGCCUCACAUCUAGAUCUGCAACUAUUUUCACAAUUUAUUCAUUUUUUCAUUAUCAUUUCAGCCAGUUAGCUAGCAAAAAUACCAAACAUUUCAUGAUUUUAGCUGCUCAAAUGUGAUGCUGCUUUUCUCUAUUUCAUAUCACUGUAAACUGGAUAUUGUUGGGUUUUUGACUGUUAGUCGGACAAAACAAGACAUUUGAAGAUGUCAUGAUGGACUUUGUGGCGAGCAUUCUUUUCACUGUUUUUUGACAUUUCAUAGACCAAAUGGUUAUGAAAUCGAGAAAAUAAUCAUAAGAUUCAUCAAUAACGAAAAUAAUUGUCAGUUGCAGCCCUAGUCAUAUCAACCAGAACAUUUUUCAAAUAGAAAAUAGUGCUGCUUAAAUUAAGUGGAAAUGAUAAUGAGGUGCAUCACAUUGGUUGAGAAAUACUUGGAUACUGUGAUCACCUUGUAUCACAAAGACAAAAUAAACAGCAAUGUUUGAUGGACCAUUGUGGGAAUUUACUGUAAUUGUGAAAACAUUGUGUCAGAGAAGUCUUUUGCCACUACUGUUCAUAGUACAGAACCCUCAUAGAGAAACAGAACCAGUUUACAGAAAUUGAAACCAGCUAAGGUAAUAAGCCUGCCUACUAAGUGUUCCUAUUGUUAAAUUGGCACGAAUACCGUAAAUUCAGUGUUUUCAAUGAGACAUGAGCUACGUGUUUAUGUAAGUGACUUGGCUCUGGCCUCUCAACACCAGAGAUAUCGUUAGGGUGUGGUUCUUGUCAAAGCCUCUAGGCUUGAGGAAUACAAAACACAGAGUCCUGAUUUUGACUCACACAAAAACACAAACACACACACACACACACAGGCCUUUAAGGGUUACAUGGCACUUCAGGCCUGACCUAUCGGUCCUCAUGCAGAGUCAUGUUACACACCCACCACAGCUUUGAUACGCCUACCCCAAAACAGCUACAGAUUCAAAACCACUGGAGCAGCUGGUUUCUGUUUCUAGCGGUUCAAACUAUUGUAGGAAAAUCCAAGCUAACCCUUCCAGUGAAAAUGGAGGGUUUUUUUCCUUCUUCUUCCACAGAGAACAGAGCCGUUUCUAUCUACCAACCGCAAACACAUCGUUCCUCUUGGAGCUCCCCCUGGUUGAUCUUCCACUAAGCUCCUCAUUCACUACAGUUCAUGCUGGCUUUUGGGUCAAAUCAAUGGCAUGAAGAUACAUUUCUGUGGGUCAGGAGGUUUAUGGGGGCCAAGCAGCUGGUCCAACACGUCCACUCUUAGCGGGAUUUAAAAAUGAGUCACUCACGAAGGAUUCCAGGAGCCUCCGAGCAGUGCUACCCACCAAGGGAAAUGACUAGCUAUCGAUCUGCCAACAAGCAGAUCGAUGUUUCCCACACACACUGGCACAGACUGAACUAUUCACAGAGAUGUCCAAUGAUGCUUACAGCAAUAAAGGAAUGUAGGAAUUAAUCUACUUUGAUUGUCCGUGUGAGGGGCCCUUCGUCUCUACGAUGAGUGACACAGUCAUGCUGCACUACAUGUUUGGCAAUGCUGGUUACAUCAUUUUAAAAUGUGGAAGACAUAAGAGAGUGAGACAAAUGACAAAUAUUAGACAAAGGGUGAGGAUUAUUAAUAAAAUCUUUCCACAGUUGCAAGACAGCUAUAGAAAAAGUAAUUAGGCUGAGGAGAUUGUAAUCUAUUUUAGCAUGUAGAUAUGAAUAGUAGUAUAAUUGGGUCCUGGAGAUGAUGGGAAUAAAAUGAGAGCCAAAUAAAGACUAAGAGCUAAAUGAGAAAUAUGUUCAGUUUCCAAGAGAAAAAAAAAGUUGACAUUCCCUCUCUCUACAAAAGACACCUGAGCCUGCCAGCUGGUUAGAGUGCACACAGACUCACAAAGAUUCAAAUCAUCUUUCAUGCAAAUUGAUGUUUUUACGUCAGCGUAAUGAUUUCAUGCCAGUCACAGGCAGUGCACAUAAGUCUGUGGUUAACAUUUAGGACAGCACUGGGGAACCAGGUGGUCACCACAUGAACCUGCCUCUCCUCAAAUCACCAGAGGUUUGCUGUAUACACAAAUAUCUACACAUUUGGUAGGGGUCAACUCCAUGUGAUAUACAAAAAGACCUUUUUUUAGUAGCAUACACCACAUCUCUACAGCCCUGCCAGCCUUUUACUACCAAGCUACAUGUUUUGUUGACUUUGCUGACAGGCUGUGUUUAGACAAAAGCAAAGCAUACUCCAGAAUUGCUUGCGAAUCAACAACUCCAAAACAGUAUGUUUUCAGUGACUGUUUAUCUGCAAGGUAAACAACCCAAACUCCUAACUCAGGGCACCUGCUUCUCUGCAACAGAGCUUUUUCAUUAUUAAUGCUUCAGUCAUUAACAGUGUUCUCAUCUUACGGCUCCUCUUUUUCGUUCUCAUGGUGUCCUAACCUGUUUGUGUGUCACUUCAGGCAGAAACCUGAAGAGGCUAUCACGCUGAAUGGAUCAAACACAAAUGGCAGGAAACUGUGCCAACGCAGCCACGCGUGUGGCCACACGACCUGGCACACAACUAUCACUACAAAAACAGCUAUUCUGAGCUAUUCCAAAAACUGGGAAUGAUUAAACUAAUGCCAUAAGGUUUGUGUCAAAGGAACGACUGAUGAAAACUCAUAUUCCACCCCACAGCAGCAUAGCAGAAACUUGACCUAACUUGCUCGCUUUCAAUCAGCAAGACCCAUCUAGCCUCCAAGCACCUGAGGAAUGUGGUCUACACGUUUAGCAAUAAAAUAUGUACAUUCUUGUUCAAAUAAAAUUACACUAAUGUCACACUAUAUGUUGUAUGUAUCCCAAGAAAUGUAAAGAUUGUGUCCUUUUGAUGAUCAUGAUCAAAAAUGUUCAUGAUCCAAUGAACACCAAUAAGAAUUGUAGAAAGCGUGUUGUUAAAUUAUGCAAAGAACAUGAGGAAGUGUUUAUCUAGCUCUGGUUCACAAAUCUGUCCACAAAAGCCACUAACAGCUCUUAUUCUGUGCCUUUGGUCAGGUGUUUGCCUGAUAUUGGUAUUGGCUUCAGACUUUGUGUCUUGGUAACCCACAUACCAUGUGUGUGCAUGUCAACAUUUCCCAAAGUUAGGGGAUUGAUGGAAAACUUUUUUCACCUACAGUCUCUAUUUACAAGGAUAACAGUGUUUCCCCAAAUGUAAGUAAUGCCAUUAAUUUACACAUGGCUGGCUUCUAAACGCAGGCAGUUCAUAUAACUGCAAGAGGAAUGACAUAACAAAACACAUGUAAUGAAUGCAAGAAAUUGCAAUAAUGAAGUGUAAAAUACUUAAGUGGGUGUACUGUGCCAUUCACAAUACAUUCCCAUGGUUGAUUUUAAAGGGAUAUAUCAAUUUACCAAAAUAAUAGCCUAUGGUGGAUUCUUACACACUACUCAAACAUGAAGAGAAAAUGGUUUGGUACACAAAAGUCAGUCAAAAUUGGCCAUUGCUGAGAGUAAUGAAAGGGUCAUGAGGCAACUAUCUCUACAUCAGCAUGCCAUGUCAUACCACUACUUAGUUAUUUAAGUUAAUCAAUGGCAAUUAAGUUUAAAUGUGUACUAUUUUAAUCUCAUGUUUCAUCAUAUGUUUAUGAGGCUUCUAACUAAAUUAAGCCUUUUUGCUUAAGAUUUUUGCUACUUCAUCAUUGUAAUUACCCACAUUCAUUGCACAAGAUGCUUGCUCUUUAUGGAAAUCUCUGUUUAUCUUAUUCUUGAACUUGAGAUGAGAACAAGACAAGGUAACAAGAUAUACAAUCUGGCUUUCAAACACAGGAAAACUGUAGAUAAUAUUACAAGAGGGGAAAAAAAUCCCUUCAGCCCCUCAUUGGGCUCAAGUUUGAUUUUACAAGCAGGGACUGAACCUUUAAACAUCCUAAAAUGACUGGACUCAACAAAGUUUUCAGUCACAUUCAGUAAGGCCUGGGCCCCUAAUGAGCCAUAGGUCUAUUUUCACUGCAUCGCACUGGACUAGACGAGAGGAAAUGUGCCAUUGUUGAAAGGAUUUAGUCGAUACAAAUGGUCUACCCAGAGUGCAAAACGGAUAUAAUGCCAACAGCAGGGGAAAAGAAAGAAAAAAAAAAAAAACUUGCCAUGUAUGUAAUUCUGACAACACAUUUUUAAUAAAACUUUAAUAAAACCCCAAUUAAAUACAGUUUGACGUUAUGUUUUUUUUACAUUUUGGCUAGUAACGUUUACUAUUUUUGUUUUCUGUUUGGAAAUAACGCUAUGUUGAAUUUCGUGACCAGUUGACAGUUGACGGUUAACUCAAGCUAGCAAGGAGGGAAGUAUGCUAGCGAUGCGGAAUUUACACUCCGUAACACUUCAUAAUUGACACCACCUAAAACAAACCAUUAAGAAAAUUAGCCAACAGUAAUGUUGUUUUCAUGGCAGGGUGCGUCCCCCCCCCCGUAGCUAACACUGUUGUAAGCGAACACACAGCGAAGUUCGUCCACCGACCGAGUCCCCCCCAUCAUCUUCU